rnacentral:lncRNA from 1 species
AACCUAAUUCAAAGAUUAUCGGGCCGGGCCGUCCUCCAUUGGGCUUGGGCUCGAGCGAUGUCAAGGAAGAGGAGGAGGGUGCUAUGAUUGGUCCGCCUCGGCCUGCAGGUGAUGCGAAGACUGAGGAAGAUGAGGAUGGUGAAAUGAUUGGGCCUCCACGACCGCCGGUAGAAGAAGAGGAUGAGCUGAUGAUUGGGCCACCAGCCCCGCCGCCAUUUGGUUCGAUGGGGUCGGAUUCGGAGGAUGAUAUGGAAGAAGAAAAAGAAGAACAUAA